AGGUCGCACUCACACCUCCACCAGCAUAUGGUGGAUUGGACAGUGCCCUGGAUCCCAGUCAGAGGAGCUGGAGUUAUUCCUGGGCUCCCUACUGACCAGCUAAGUGAUGUGAGGACUGGUUUUAUUCUACUGAGAACUAUUCAAUGACAUUUCAUGCUAUGCUCACUUAACUCACCAGAACUGAACUCCAGACCUUCAGAAGGGAGAAAGAGAGAAAGAACAAGAGAUGGGUCUCCUCCUGCAUGGCUGCAGCAACCUGCAUUGUCGACCAGACCCACCUCAGCCUUCUAUGCAAUCAAAACUCACCUGUUUGAGCCCUUUUCCCCUAAAUGCUUCUUUUCUAUGAGGUACUCCAAUCAACUAAUGUUCGCUAAUAUAUUCACUUUGUACAGUGAUUGGUAAGUGUCUACUCUACUUUGAACGUCCAUUAGUAAAGAAACCUUCCUGAAGAUGAUGCCUUUAACCCAGUGAAGUGGCUACCA